rnacentral:lncRNA from 1 species
CGCUGUGAAUGAAUUUUUUCACCAUGCUACUCUGUAAACAGCAUAACAACCCAAAUGCCCUUGGCUGUAUACUCAUCUGCACCACACACACCAGUGAUGCCUGGAUUCCUCUAGAAUCUCCAGCUGCCAAAGAAAAAAAUACCAGAAGCCCAGUUGGUGGAAAGCCCAUCACUUACUCUAGGUGAUAGAAGUCUUCUGCACCAGUAAGGAUCAGGCUGCCCGUAAGUUGCCUGCAGUGUCUUUCAAUGAAUCUGUAUAUCAAGAGAUGCAUCCUAAAGAAAAGUUCAUAAGCACCACUUGCCUUUUGCUAUAUGGUC